GAGUAAAACAUUUUAAAACAUUCUUUAUUUUUGCAGGGUGUUAAAAAAUCCACUGUGUAUUGUAGUCAGGGAAGUGUAUGGUUAAGAGUAAAGAUCCUUUCUUCUCAAUCCUGUCACUUGGAGUUUUUGUAUAUUUUUGAAACAAAGUUAGCAUACCUUUUUAUCCUCAUAGGUUCUCUCAGAUCACUGAUUAUCUUUUAUAUAUCUCACUGAGGCUGUUUUAAUUUGCAAAAAUUCUCAAGCAUACUUACUUUGCAUUUAUUGCCUGAUCAAAACGGGAUCCGAGGAGGGGAAUGUCAUACUCUUAGAUCAAAGACUUUGGAAAUUAAAAACUUUGUCAACUCUUGCUGGCAUAUUGCUUAUUAGAGGGACCAUGGGCUAUCAUUUUCUCUCUUUUUUUUUUAAGUGGAUACUGAGGUGCCCCUAAUUCUACUGCCGGACACUAGUCCAUUUUUUCUGCGAGGUUGUCGAGCACUUGCUCCUUUUUAUUUCCUCGAAAUAUCUUUAUUUUUGCAUAGCCCAUGCCUCUAAUGCAAUAGUACUUCGGAAGAGUGAAUCUUUCUGAAUAAAUGUCUUGAUCUUAGGAGCAUGAUAAAUCUCUCAACAUGGGUCUAACUCAUUUUGAACAAACUCAGUACAGAGUAGAUAACUUUUAUAAUCAUAAUUAAUAUUUUCAGUUUUAUCAGGCAUAUAAAACACUGAGGAUGGUAGCUAGAAUUUUGAAGAUUUUGAAAUAAAUUCUCCAAGCAACAAUGAUAUCAAGAAUAAGAAACUCAUACUCUACCAUCUCACAUUCCAUACUAUCUU
rnacentral:lncRNA from 1 species